rnacentral:snRNA from 1 species
AUCGCUUCUCGGCCUUUUGGCUAAGAUCAAAGUGUAGUAUCUGUUCUUAUCAGCUUAAUAUCUGAUACGGGUUCAAAUGAACCCCAGAAUAUUAAACUGAUUUUUGGAAUUCGGUGGGAAGUCAAUGCUUGCAUUGAUCCUGCCACGGGUUGACCCGGUAUUGCAGUACCUCCGGGCUCGGCUCACCCCUU